rnacentral:misc_RNA from 1 species
AACUGAUACUACCUGCGGGAACCUGCGGAGGGAUCAUCACUGAUUCUCGGGGGAGGAGUGUGUGUGUGUGUGUUCCCGCGCUGCUGCGCGCACGCUUGUGUGUGUUGGUAGCGGGGUGAGCACGCGCGCGCACGCACACCCCAACCAAUCUUUUGUGCACGGUUUCACGGUCAACGAGGCGCCGCGCGUGUGUUGGCGAGUAGUAGUGUGGUGCGUGUCCCCCCAAUGUAGUAGUGCGGU